UACGGGAGGCAGCAGUGAGGAAUAUUGGUCAAUGGAGGCAACUCUGAACCAGCCAUGCCGCGUGCAGGAUGACGGUCCUAUGGAUUGUAAACUGCUUUUAUACGGGAAGAAAACGAGUUACGUGUAACUAACUGACGGUACCGUAAGAAUAAGGAUCGGCUAACUCCGUGCCAGCAGCCGCGGUAAUACGGAGGAUCCAAGCGUUAUCCGGAAUCAUUGGGUUUAAAGGGUCCGUAGGCGGUCUUAUAAGUCAGUGGUGAAAGUUUUUAGCUUAACUAAAAAAUUGCCAUUGAUACUGUUAGACUUGAAUUACUUGGAAGUAACUAGAAUAUGUAGUGUAGCGGUGAAAUGCUUAGAUAUUACAUGGAAUACCAAUUGCGAAGGCAGGUUACUAUGAGUUAAUUGACGCUGAUGGACGAAAGCGUGGGUAGCGAACAGGAUUAGAUACCCUGGUA
rnacentral:rRNA from 1 species